AGACAGACAGAGCACCUGGUCAUUGGGAGGUGUGGGUAGUUUUUGUGCCGGUGUCAUUCUGCAUCAUUUCAAACCCUGAGUAAAAAUGGCUGAGUGCAUUGAGGUCAAUUACUAAAUUCCGUCAUGUUUAUGCUUAAAAAAUUUGUUAUACAGAAAUCAGCUAAUUCAAAAGUUCACACAUUUGGUGUGCUGUCCAGGGGGAGGGCUCCAAGCUCUGAAUUUGGGCCCAAACCCAGAGUACCUACAUAUGCCUCUUAUCAUUAUCAGAGUUGAUUAACUGAAUGCGCUCCUCUCGUGUUAAUUAGGUUCAUUAUCUGAACGAGCUCCUCCUGAACUUUGUUAUUAAAACAUCAUAUAUAAAAGGAUAUGAAGUCUAGAUGAAGCAUGUUUCAAAGAGAACUGUCUGUGCGCCAAUUUGAAUAGGAGAGAAUCACAUGAAGUGGCUGAAAAACAUUCCAACACAUUCCAAGUGUUCAGUGGGCAUGGGAGUGAUCUGACCAAAGACCAAAGAUAAAUGGCAGGGCAGAGAGCCGUGGGAAUGGAACGAGGAUCACCUGUGCGCCACACCAGUCUCCAGUCCCAUGGAGGCGCUCCGGAAGGAUAAAGGAGGAGUGACGACAGUUCUAGAAGAGAGAGGACCAGGCCUGGUCUUUAUGUUGGUUUUAUUAUGGUUAUAUGCUUUACUUUUGUCUUAUUAUUUAUUUUAUGAUUAAAACUUUACACUGAA